rnacentral:lncRNA from 1 species
UCUCUAUGGAGUGUUCGCCGAGGACGUGUCUCUAAUCAUACGAAAUAACAAAUUUACUAGUAAUAAUAGGAUAAUCCUCCAUUCGCGCAUCUCUGUGGAAUGUUACCGAGGACAAAACAGUGUACAAAAUAUAUUGAUCAUGUGUUAUAAAGUCAUGCUUUUAACUGAUAAAUUGUGGAAAUCAUUUGUGAAAUAUAUAAAACAUAACAGUUUAUAAAACCCAUUUCACAAAUAAAUGUUUAAGUGAUCUGUGUAUUCUACUAGUUAUCAGUUGUGUAUAUCAAUAUUAAAAGCAUAUGAAAUGUGAAACACACACAUGAAAAUAAGUUUUGAUUACAAGAAAACCCUUGUACUUUGCUUGUGUUCCCCCUCUGAAAACAUUGAAAAACAGUGAAAAGGGUAGGGGUAUGAACUCACCGGACUCGUAAAUGUGUCGAUUUUGGAUACUAGACGUUGGUUCGGGGAUUGUUUACUCGCGAUGUCCCUAUGUAAAAUGUAAUAAUGUCCAUAUAAUACUAAUUAGAUUUACAAUCACUGAUUAUUUAGGACAUUACACUCCAACGAGGUUAAACACCUCAAAACGAGCGUUUGGAGUGACCCGGGUGACAUCUACGGACGUGAUAUGGCAUUAGGGACUUGGGACUUGAGUUUACUCUCCAAAAGUAAACAUUUAAAUGAGUUNCAUAAGUAAAAAUUUAAAUGAGUUUACAACCACAAAACACACCCACACAUGAGUUUACGGCCGUAAACUCAUGUUGGUGUGAUUUUGAGGGUUUAAGGGCUUAAAUGGACAUAGGGAUUGCUAGAAUGGAUAUUUAAAAUGCCUUGGAACACUUGGAAUGAAUUAACAUCAUUUAAAAGGGAGUUUACGGCCACACUCUUGGAGUUUACGGCCGUAAACUCACCCAUGGCCAAGAAUGAUUAAUUUGAACUACAAAGGACAAUCACAUGUGAUUCUAACUAAUUUUCUAAGCAUUGUUAUGAAUUUAGGUUACCAUUUAAUA